CACCAAAUCGAUCAUCAAGACUUUCCUUGGUUGAUCCCCAAACAAACUCCACACGAUUGAGGUUGUUUAUAUCGUGUGCAAGUUGAAGAACUUGAGACAUUUGAUGGCCUACAGUUUAAACUUUUGAAGUCGUGUGGGACUGUUGAAUUGUUGUAUGCUAAAAGGGCUGAGGAAAUGUCCGAGAAGAUGCUUGAGGUUGGCCAUUGGAGAUGAAGUUUUGGGAGCUUUAAGGGAGAUCACAUUUGCAUAUAGGCAU